rnacentral:rRNA from 1 species
GACAGAGGGUGCAAACGUUGCUCGGAAUUACUGGGCGUAAAGGGCGCGUAGGCGGGAUGGCAAGUCGGUCGUGAAAUCCCUCGGCUCAACUGAGGAUCGUCGAUCGAUACUGCCGUUCUUGAGGAUUGCAGAGGAGACUGGAAUUCCCGGUGUAGCGGUGAAAUGUGUAGAGAUCGGGAGGAACACCGGUGGCGAAGGCGGGUCUCUGGGCAAUUCCUGACGCUGAGGCGCGAAAGCGUGGGGAGCAAACAGG